rnacentral:rRNA from 1 species
GAUGAACGCUGGCGGCGUGCCUAAUACAUGCAAGUCGAGCGAACGGACGAGAAGCUUGCUUCUCUGAUGUUAGCGGCGGACGGGUGAGUAACACGUGGAUAACCUACCUAUGAGACUGGGAUAACUUCGGGAAACCGGAGCUAAUACCGGAUGAUAUUUUGAACCGCAUGGUUCAAAAGUGAAAGACGGUCUUGCUUUCACUUAUAGAUGGAUCCGCGCUGCAUUAGCUAGUUGGUAAGGUAACGGCUUACCAAGGCAACGAUGCAUAGCCGACCUGAGAGGGUGAUCGGCCACACUGGAACUGAGACACGGUCCAGACUCCUACGGGAGGCAGCAGUAGGGAAUCUUCCGCAAUGGGCGAAAGCCUGACGGAGCAACGCCGCGUGAGUGAUGAAGGUCUUCGGAUCGUAAAACUCUGUUAUUAGGGAAGAACAUAUGUGUAAGUAACUGUGCACAUCUUGACGGUACCUAAUCAGAAAGCCACGGCUAACUACGUG